ensembl:lncRNA
AUUAAUGCAGAAUCUUACACCAGAAUAGAACUGCAUAAUCUAAUCUAAUGAAAUUUAAUCUAAUCUAUUAACCUAAUAAUAAUAGAAAUGAAAUAAGUUAGUGGUUAGCAUGUACGCCUCACACCUACAGGGUCAAGGGUUUGAUUCCCACCGUGGCCCUGUGUGUGCGGAGUUCGCAUGUUCUCCCCGUGCUGUGGGGGUUUCCUCCGAGUACUCCGGUUUCCUCCCCCAGUCCAAAGACAUGCACGGUAGGCUGAUUGGCGUGUCUAAAGUGUCCAUAGUGUAUGAAUGUGUGUGUGAUUGUGCCCUGCGAUGGAUUGGCACCCUGUCCAGGGUGUACCCCGCCUUGUGCCCGAUGCUCCCUGGGAUAGGCUCCAGGUUCCCCGUGACCCUGAAGAAGGAGUAAGCGGUAGAGGAUGGAUGGAUGGA